GCGCGAAGACGUGGGGACGCAGGCGGGUCGUAGAGAGCAUACCUGAAACUGACCACCUGAGUACGUUUUCCCAUUGCUGAGCUGUUUCCCUGAUAUCUGGCCAUGCAACGGAGAUCAAGAGGGAUAAAUACUGGACUUAUUCUACUCCUUUCUCAAAUCUUCCAUGUUGGGAUCAACAAUAUUCCACCUGUCACCCUAGCAACUUUGGCCCUCAACAUCUGGUUCUUCUUGAACCCUCAGAAGCCACUGUAUAGCUCCUGCCUUAGUGUGGAGAAGUGUUACCAGCAAAAAGACUGGCAGCGUUUACUGCUCUCUCCCCUUCACCAUGCUGAUGAUUGGCAUUUGUAUUUCAAUAUGGCAUCCAUGCUCUGGAAAGGAAUAAAUCUAGAAAGAAGACUGGGAAGUAGAUGGUUUGCCUAUGUUAUCACCGCAUUUUCUGUACUUACUGGAGUGGUAUACCUGCUCUUGCAAUUUGCUGUUGCCGAAUUUAUGGAUGAACCUGACUUCAAAAGGAGCUGUGCUGUAGGUUUCUCAGGAGUUUUGUUUGCUUUGAAAG
rnacentral:lncRNA from 1 species